CGCGGUCCUCCCGCUUGUGCAGUGGCAGAACUGGAUCUGUCCCAGGAUCUUGGAGCGGCUGAACACCUCCCGGGCCGCGGAGGCUCCUUGCUUUUCACAUCGCGCCACCGCGAGAUAACCAGUGCUUCCCUCCCGCGGCUGCCUGGCUCUGCUAGACAAGGUGACUGCGUUUUUGGGUUUCUGUUUUCCUGAGAUGCUCCUGCUCUUCCACCUUGGAAAGAUUCAUGCAGAGGCCACAUGGAGAGGAAAGACCCCAGGACAUGAACCUGGUGAGCCCUUCCUAAUUGGAAGGUCAGUCAUUGCGUGAAGAAGCCGUCUGGGGUGUUUUAGCCAUCUGUGUUGUUCCACUGUAUGAGUCAGGGUUCUCUAAAGGAACAGAACUGAUAGAAUGAAUAUAUAUGCAUAUAUAAAUAUAUAUAACAUAUAUAUUAUAUAUAUAUGAGAUUUGUUAGGUUGGCUUACAGGAUGCAGUCCAAGUAGUCCAACAACGGCUGUCUCACACUAGAAAGGAUGAGAGUCUGGUAGUUGCUCCAUCCACAAGGCUGGACUCAGCAGUCCCAGUUUGCUGCUGGAUUCCUAGAGGAUUCCUUGAGAGCUGCUGAUCUUCAGUCUACACUGGAAUUCUAAAGAAGACAGUUCUAAUAUUGGUGAGUUAAUGCCACAGAAACAGGAUAGAUGAACUUGCCACCGAGAGUAAGGGUAAGCAGGCAAAAGGAAAGUUUCCUUCUUCUUUGUCCUGUUAUCUCAGCUGCCAUGAGGAGGUGCUGCCCAGAUUUAGGGUGAGUCUUUUUGCUUCCAAUAAUCUGAUUAAGACAGUUCUUCACAGAUGGGUGGUAGUGGCAUAGGCCUUUAAUCCCAGUGCUCAGGAGGCAGAGGUAGAUGGAUCUCUGUGAGUUCAAGUCCAGCAUGGUCUAAAGAGUGAGUUCCUAGACAGUGAGGGCUACACAAACAAAUCCUGUCUUUAAAAAAAAAAUGUUUUAGCUGAUCCCAGAUGCAGUCAAGUUGACAAGAUUGUUCAUCGUGUCUACAUUAUCUAAAAUAGGAGCAAAUCCAGCUGGGUGGUGGUGGGACAUGGCUUUAAUCCCAGCACUCGAGAGGCAGAGACAGGCAGGUAUAGCUCUGAGUUCGAGGCCAGCCUGAUCCUACACAGCAAGUUCCAGGACAACCAGGACUACACAGAGAAACCCUGCCUUGAAAAACAAAAAUAAAUAAAUAAAUAAAUAAAUAAAUAAGGGACAAAUCUUUCCUACCAUUGCCUAUUCCAGGGAUAAACUCAUUGCUGUUUUAGCCCUGCUUUAGAGAGGUUACUUAGAGCUUUGCCUCACAACUCUUGGACUAUGCAGAGUGCAUGCCUAUGCAGAUACUUCAGAAUUUGGGCAUCUGGUUCUGGGAAACAAAGAAAACCCCGAAUGCACCUGUGAAACCUCUCUGAUUAACCUCAGAGUACAGAAUUCUAAGAUUCUAGAACAUGCUCCCAUCACUGUGCCAGAGCCAAGCUCAGGUCCUGACCUUCCCCCCUCGUCCCCUGCAAGCCAGGUGGAGCUGAGCUAGACAACAGCCUCAUCCCAGCCUCACUCCAGCCUCACUCCAGCCUCACUCCAGCCCUCCAAAAGCUCUAACACUGGAGUCUAGUUUUCAAGUUUGUUCAUUUCCUUUUUUUUCCCCCCUUUCCUCUGUGGUGUCCUUCGUAAGGCUGUUUGGAAAGGGUUAGAAGCUGUGGCCUUGUUGGAUAAUGUGUGUUAUUGGGGGGGGGGGGAGCUCUAAUUUCCAAAAGCCCAUGCCAGACCCAGUCUCAUGCUCUCUCUACCUCUGCCUGUAGAUCAGGAUGUAAGUGCUUAGCUACUGCUCCAGUGCCAUGUCUGCCUGCCUGCCACCAUGCUUCUUGCCAUGAUGAUAAUGGACUCACCCUCUGAAACUGUAAUUAAGCUCCAAUUAAGUGCUUUCUUCUAUAAGUUGUUUGGUCAUGAUGUUUCUUCACAGCAAUAGAGCAGGCACUAAGACAGGGCCAUUCUCACUCAAACCACCACAUGAUCUAUGAGCAGUGCUUACACAGACGGGUUAAUUAAUGCCUCUGCCACCUGGGUUCUUAACUCUCCUGACACUGGAUUAGUUUCCAGGAGAGCAGGUUGUUAUACAGUGAGUUCAGCUUCCUUGGGUUUCUCUUGCUUCUCUCUGCAUGAGCUCACUUGCCUACUUCUUUCCACUGUGGGUUGAAACGCCACAAGGUUCUCACUACAUCAUAGUCUUGGGCAUCCCCAGAGGCCAAAAAUCAACCUUUUCCUUAUAAUUUUCCUAUUUCAGAUAUUGUUAAUGGCAAUAGAAAAUAGACUAAGACAAUUUCUCAAAAACUGGAGCCUGAAGCAUCAUUUGAAGAAAUGGUUUAUUGAGAGAAUGCUAUCAUAAGAAGCACAGUAAAGGGAGAAAACUCAGGAAGGGGAGCUGAGCAAGGUUAUGGUCUUAUUGGAGCUGAGCUUCAGCCUGAUCCCUUAGAGAACCUUGGAAUGUGAACUGUGCUAGAGUUAAAUCUACUUUGAAGUAAUGGAGGGACAGCCUGCCCCUAUCUCAUUAAGGAGACAACACUAACAAUAAGAACCAGUUAAGAAAAUUUGGUAGGAGUGAUAAUAACAUAGUUGUUGUAUGUCUACUGUGAAGCAAGGCUUAAUUGUUACCCUAGUAAGAGCUAUCUGAUUGGCAAUCUGGCUUUUCCCAAGCAUCACCAGACUGCUUUAGGCACUAUUUAAAACAUCAGUAUAUUUUAGUAUUCCAAACAUCACCUUAUAUUUUAGUUUAUGUAAGACUGCUGAUUCUCUGACUAUAAAUGUCAUGAUUUCACCCAACAGCUAACCAGUAGGUGCCAUGUGGCCUGUGAAAGAGGCUGAUCCUGAAAGCUUAGAAAAAUGCACACUGGGAGGGUUCUAGAUAGUAAUGAGGCUCUGUUGGAAGCUCCAUUGGGUUUCCCAUAUGAGGAAUGAGUCCAUUUAAAGAUGUAAGGUUCCAGCUAGUGUUUAGUAGAUGCUAAAGAAGCAUUUCCAGCUGGGCAGUGGUGGCGCUCACCUUAAAUCCCAGCACUUGGGAGGCAGAGGUAGGUGGAUCUCCCUGAGUUCAAGGCCAGCCUGGUCUACAUAGCAAGUUCCAGGACAGGCUCCAAAGCUACGCAGAGAAGCCUUGUCUGAGAGAGAGAGGGGAGAGAGAGAGAGAGAGAGAGAGAGAGAGAGAGAGAGAGAGAGAGAGAGAGAGAGAAAGAGAAACAU